rnacentral:tRNA from 1 species
GGGGCUGUGGCACAGCAGGUAAAGCUGCAGCCUAUGAUGCUGGCAUCCCAUACAGACACCGGUUCGAGUCCUGUCUGCUCCA